UAUAAGAAGUGAACAUAACUAUUUUACUAGUGGUCACAUUUACUAAAUGCAGUAAGCUUUCUGUGGCUUUUGUUUUGUCAGGUAUUGCUGCUUUCAUGCUGGGUUCCACGGCCUGAAUGGUGCUUCCAUCCUGGAGUCAGUUGUGCUAAGGUCUCGGGCCUGUUACACAUCAAAAGUAAAGACAGAAACAUACUUAUUCUCUACUGUGACAAUUAUACCAGGGAGAUGUAUGGUACACCAGGGGGACGGAACUGCAAAUGGCUGAAAGCAUGUCCUACAGUCCUGCGAGAGGAGAGUUCCACAGAUAUCACAGGGAGUGCCAUGCCAUCUGAGUCUCCUGCCUUCUGCUGGAACCAAAAGCCAUGUCGCGUUACUGAAGACACAAGCCAGUGAGAGCUGGACCCAGUGGUGUGGUUUGGUCCCAGCUACCCAAGAG
rnacentral:lncRNA from 1 species